rnacentral:lncRNA from 1 species
CAAAAAUGUUGACUUGCCCUCAAGUUCCGUCAGCACAGUUUGGAUAAGCACUAAAAUACAUUUGUUUCCAGCAGUGGGCACACCAUUCCAGUUGCACAGAGAGAAAUGGAGUAUUAAUCUUCAAUUGAUCAUAGGCAGUUUUGAGAGUUACGUUCUGCUCAGUUUCAGAUUCUUUAGUUGUUGGACUCCAAGCCCAAGAAGUGUUUUUAUUAUAAUAAUUAAAAAACAAAACUGUGCCCUUAACAUGUAUUAAAGUGCAUUUAGUUACCAUUUUUAAAGCAGGUCAGAAUGUCCCUUUGAAACUGGUCCCUAAGCACUGCAGUAGCAUUUUGUAGUGGUAAAAGUAGUGUAUUACAGAAAGCCUGUUCCAUACCAGCACAGAGUACAGGGGAUUUCUGUGAGUUAGUGAAACAGGUCCUAGAGUUCCAAAAGGAUAAGACAACAGGAGUACAGAAGAGCUCUGUUCUCAUCCCGUGGACAGAGGUUACCUGUCAAAGGCAUCCCACAGCCACAGAUACUCAUUUCCAUGCACCAAGACAUUCUUUCAGGCUUCCACAGUACUUUUCUGGCUGAGAUAACUUGUAUGUAUGAUUCCCUUAAUGUUGAUGUGCAGUAUAGCAUCGCUUUCAUACAGGACAGCUGUUUGUUAAAGCUAAAAACACCAAUUAAAAGAGGCCCAGCACCUUGAAGCAAGUUUUAUAAUAAAAGGCCUAUUUAUUCUUCAUCAUCAUCUUCAUAGUAACGGUUCCUUUUGAUCUGUUCUUCCACAGAUAGAUCUUCCAUAUCUUCACCCUCCCAGAAACCAACAUCUUGGGAUUUGCGAUUCUGGUCAGGAGAUGAUUCCUUUGCAGUUACAUUGGAUAGGCUGGAAUGUUUAGGAGAAUUUGGUUCAAGGAAUUCUUCACUUGGGGUUUGCUGCUCUUCCACAGCAUGUUCUUCCUCAUCUGUCUCUGCACUCUCCUGGCCAUUUUCUACGAAGUUGUGCUCUGCUGUUUUGAUACCAGGCAAUUCCCGCUCUUCCUCUACACUUUUCUCCUCAGCAUUCUGCAUGUUCCUAUUCUCCAUCUUUUCCUUGUGCUUUUUGUCUACCACAACCUCUCUCUCCAGUUCCUCACUUCUUUUCAACAUGUCUCUCUCUGCCUUAGAAGGAGAGGACGAAUUGUCUGUUUUAUGGCCUUUCACAGAUACUGUUCUAAACGAGGCUGCUACCGUAAAGGGACGACUUCUCUCCUUCAGUGAGGAAGAUCUUCUUAACUUUUUGAGAUCCAGAUCCACAUCCUCCAACACAUCUGGCUUGGAACUCUCUUCUUCUGGAGGCCAUUUGGGUUUUAAUACUUUGAUGCCUUCAUCCAAAGUGCUUCCUUGAGUACUUUGGUCUGAUGGAGGUGGCCAGGCAAUCCUGAGCUUUUUUGUUUCUGCUGGUUUCUCUUCUCUCUCAGGCAAAGCUGAAGCUUUUGCUUCCAUAGUUGCUGCCAGAACUCCUACUUUUGCAAUUGGGGCAUCCUCUACUCCUGGGUUUUGAGGACUCUCAGUUGCAUUUACACCAUGGAGAGUUUUCUCCAGGGAUUCCUCACAUUCUGUUUUGCUUGACCAUAAUUCCUUAUGCUGUUUGUGUCCAAAGCCUUCAUCGUAAUUACCUUUAGCUUUGAAGAGCUGAUUGAAGUGAGGCUUGCAGUAAAUAUUCCCACGCAGAGAUGCAUAUGUCCCAAGGCUGAGUUUACUGUUGCAAUAGGAACAGCGGAAACAGCUGAUGUGGAACACCUGCUGGUUGGCAAGGAGCCUUUCCAUUGGGUACACUGUCUUCUGACACCCAACGCAGGUUUCCUUUGCUGGCAACUGAAACUUCUUCACCGUUUUUGGCAGAGAUGCAUCUGUCUGGCCAAGUGAUUUGGAGCCAAAGUUUUGCUGUUUUGUGCUGACAGGUUUCUGAACUUCUGUCUCGCUCUCCAGGUUUUGUCCAACAUUCCCAUCCUCUGAAAGGCUGGAGUGGAAAGAUAGGCUGUUCUCACCCACAGAAACCUUCUCCCCAUCCUGAUAGGAAAUGCAGUCCUCAAAACUUGGUGGCAUAUUCUCCUUCUGCUCAGAUUUGUAAUUCUUGAGUUCACUUUCACUGGCUUGAAUCUCAUUCGUGGUCACAAGGCCUGUGGAACUGCCCUGCUUGGACACAGCUGCCUGAUACUUUGCCAACCUAUCCUUUAUUGAAGUUUCUGUUAAGCGAGGCAUCUCCAGGCUUUUCUUGGUCUCUACCUUAUCUGGGCUGAGUGCUGGACUUGCAUCUGAUGCACUGUGACUCUUCUCUCCUUGGCCAACAUCAAGGUCCUCUGAAGAGAAGCUGUUUUCAGAAAUCCUCCUACCAAUUGCUGUCUUCCUCUGGUCUCUAGCAACCUUGGGCUGAGCUGCUUCACCCUUUUCAAACAUCAUCUUUAACUUGUUCAGCGGAACGCUGUACUUCUCUAUCUUCCCCGAAGACUCUGCGUUUUCACUGGCUUCAGGCUUUUCCACUUCUCUGGACUCUCUCAGAUAGUUUUCCAUUUUACCACUCUCCGGUGAGUGGCUUUGAGACUUUCUGCUGUCAACACCGGGACUCUGCAGCUGGCCAGGGGUGCCAGAAGAGGCCUGGGCGUGAGAUGCUGUGCCGGCUGCCGGGAUCUGCUCUGUGUCUGAGGAAAAAGCAAGGCUGCUUCCAACUCCCAGCUCGGGGCUCGCGACCCUGUGCCUAACCUCAGCACAGCUGCUCCGUAGCGUUUCCUUCCGAGGCUCCGUUCCCGGCACUGGAUUCUCCCACUUCUUCUUUAGUACGCUCAGAUUCCCUCUCUUAAAAUGAGGGGGAAGAUUUUCUGUGCUAUUUCUUUUUUUCUCAGCCGUGGCUUCUUCAGCUGCUUUCUGAUACCUGGAGAACCUCUCCGCAAGAGCUGAUGACUUAUUCUUGUUGACAAGAGAAAGCUCUUUUGCAGUGAUUUUCAAAGACUGAGAAGUCCAUUGUCUUCUAUUAAACGGGGAAGGCUCCAUCUUAUCACCACA